rnacentral:lncRNA from 1 species
AUAAACCUUCUUCCUCCCGUCGGCUUCUGAUUCUGUGGCACUCUUAGAACAUUCUUCUCCAUUUGAUGAAUACUCUGAACACCUAUGACUAUCAGGUCCUUUUCGAUUCCUGAACUCUCCAAGUUCCUUCUUUCUGUUAGUUUUUAAUUCACUGUAUUGAUUCUUACUUAAUUCUUUCAGUUCCUGAGAGUUCUCAACGAAUUCAAACGACUCGUAAACAGGAAAAUCGUUUAAGUUCGAACGGCCGGCAAUGCUUUCAAUGCCUGCGAGGGAUAUUCAUAUCAUAUAUUCUCAGCAUAAAUGAAAAAUAAAAAAAAGAAGGGAAAAAAUGUGUUGCAGAGAAAAAUGGUACCUGGCUUUUCAUCGGCGUAAAUCGUGUUGAAUUCUUUCAUAAAGUUGAGCAUUUUUCUACUUUGCAGAUUUCCCU